GCCCUGUUUAAUUCAUUUACUUCAAAUCUUGACAAAUAAGGCCUUCCUUGCUUAAUCUAAAUAUAUACUUAAUGAUUUAAAUAUCACUCAGUACCCUCUUGGUUCAACUGGAGUGUCCAGUCUGGUUGGAAUAUCAAGAUGAAGCUAUUUCUGAUCCUCUGCCAGUUCCUUCUUGAGGUCAGGGGCUAGAACUUACCCUCUGGCUACUAUUACUGCCACGCCUUCUGAUUGCCAAAGAGCAUUUUCAUUUUUCGGUCCAGACCAUAUUUGGUGUCCUGAGGAGAGAACUGGUUGCCUCUCUUUCUGCAAAUCAGGUUGGUAACGGAUAAAAGCACCAGGUGUCAAGGUCUGGAGUUCCAUUGACUACCUUUGGUUUGCCCACACAUUCCAAAUGCCUUCCUUAGUUUUCCGCAGCUCGUUCCCCUUGAUUCUGUCGUUUUACUCCCAAAGGACUCGAGUUUUCUUUUCUGUAAAUCUGCUCAUUCCUUUCCCCUCGUAUUGUUGGGGGUGGGGGGUGGCGGGGGGAGUGUCUCCUGGCAAGUGAGGCUCACAGUGUUAAAAGGGCCAAGAGGUCGUGGGCCGGGGCCUCCCCUCAUGGAAGUGACCUCCAGGCCUUUGCGGGGGUUGCCCGGGCGAGCGCAGACCUGACGCCCGAGCGGGGCCAAGGUUGUCGGGGUUUCUCCGGGCGGAGGCUGGCCCUCGCGGCGGGCGGGCGGGCGGAGGCGGCGGACGGCUCCGCGCGUGGCCUGACGGAGGCGCAGGCCCACCGCCGAGUGAGGGAAUGCGAGGCGGGCCCGGCGCGCACGGGCAGCAGCGGCCGCUGAGGCGCGCGGGGCACGGCGGUGCCGCCGUGUAGAGCUGUCAGGCCGGUCCGCGGGCGCGCCCGGCCCCGCGCCCCGCCGGCCGCCGCCUCCAUCCCCGCCCGCGGCCCGCGCUCCGAGCGCCCAGACCCGAGGCGGCCCGCACGUGCGCCCGCUCGCCGCCCGCCAGCCGACGAUCUGGGAGCAUGCCCGCGGGAGUCCGGCCGCUCGCCCGGGGCCAGCUGGCGGCGGCGGCGGCGCGUGGAGCCGCGGGGCGCAGCCGGCCGGGUUGGGGCCACCGGGCCGGAGUCUCCCGGGCCGCGUGAGGCGGCGGCGGCCCAGCGCGGCCGAAGAGGACGGAGCAGCGCCGUGCAGAGCGGGCAUCCAGAACAGGGCUCCUCACGUGUGCUCAGCUGAGUUCAGUUCUUUGCCGCCCCAAGGACUGUAGCCCUCCAGGCUCCUGUGUCUAUGGAAUUCUCCAGGCAAGAAUGCUGGAGUGGGCUGCCAUUGCCUCCUCCAGUGGAUCUUCCUGACCCGGGAUCGAAGCCGAGUUUCCUGCUUUGGCAGGUGGAUUCUAUACCAUUAGUGCCACCUGGACUCCUCGGCGACGCUCAGUGAUUCUUGGUGAGUAAAGGCUGGGACCGAAGCUGCUUGUGUUUGCUCCGUCCUGGGUGCCAGAAGAAGAAGAAAUAUCUGGACGUAGGUUUCCCCCCUCGCCCUCCUGUACCCCUUCCAGAAGGGUGCCCAUUUCCCUUUUCCACAGCCUGCAAACAGGAGGUCCCAUGUUCCAGCACACCAGAAGAUGUGGGCAACCUCACAUCUAACAGAACUGGUCUUUGCUGGGAGGAGCUGAGGGCAGCCUGUCACCCAAAGGAAUAAUGCUCCUAGGGAGGCACUUCGGGCCAGCAUGGGGCUUCCUGGGGCCCCAUGCUUCCAAUCCUGGCUUUCUUACUCCUGGGCACCUUUACAAAAAUGUUCUGUCGCUUGUGCCCCUUGAAGAGUUGGUACACAGGUCAUAGGAGUUAUUGCUAUUUCUUCUCUCCAAGGUUCUUUAUUUCCCUUUUCAGAGAUGGUUCCCCUUGAAGGAUGGAAUUUUCUCUUUUAGCAGCUGGGGACUACCGCCCAGGUCUCUGUAGGGCCUGGCCGACUCAUCUGCUGUGCUGUGAGGCAGGGCAAGAACUAUCUCCUGCUGCAGCCCUGCCGGACCGAGUCAGGCCCUGCGGCCUCCUGGCCUCACCUGGCUGUGGUCCACGGAGGAGUUAGGCCCCAGGGAGAGCCCACCAGGCGCCAGCGCCCUGCGAGAAGUGGGUGAAAGAUGGGCUGUCCAUCUGCUGUCUCUUUACAGCCCCUUGAAAACCCGCCUUGAAGGGCAAGGGGCGGACGUUGGCGUGGCCAUUCCCAGUUCCAACAGGGACCAGCAUCCAUCUGCACAGGGCUGCCCGCAGGUC
ensembl:lncRNA